rnacentral:rRNA from 1 species
GUUGUUCGGAAUUACUGGGCGUAAAGGGCUCGUAGGCGGCCAACUAAGUCAGACGUGAAAUCCCUCGGCUUAACCGGGGAACUGCGUCUGAUACUGGAUGGCUUGAGUUUGGGAGAGGGAUGCGGAAUUCCAGGUGUAGCGGUGAAAUGCGUAGAUAUCUGGAGGAACACCGGUGGCGAAGGCGGCAUCCUGGACCAACACUGACGCUGAUGAGCGAAAGCCAGGGGAGCAAACGGG